rnacentral:rRNA from 1 species
UACGUAGGGUGUAAGCGUUAAUCGGAAUUACUGGGCGUAAAGCGUGCGCAGGUGGUUACGUAAGUCUGAUGUGAAAUCCCCGAGCUUAACUUGGGAACUGCAUUGGAGACUGCGUGGCUAGAGUGCGUCAGAGGGGGGUAGAAUUCCACGUGUAGCAGUGAAAUGCGUAGAGAUGUGGAGGAAUACCGAUGGCGAAGGCAGCCCCCUGGGAUAGCACUGACACUCAUGCACGAAAGCGUGGGGAGCAAACAGG